UGCUAGAAAAUUGGGAAAAAUAGCCGAAAAAUCUAGAAAAAUUGGGGAAAGUCCUAAAAAUUAAUUUCGGGCUCGAGGAGUGGGCCGGAGGUUCGAUAUGGGAAUUCGAGGGCAUUAUGGCGGACCAAUAGGUGAUGCCAAUGUGGGCGAUUAGCCGAUUUUCUCUUCCAAAUUAAUUGAGGUUCGACCGGGGAGGCGAUGAUCCUAGAAGAGCUCGAAGUUCGGGCUGGCGUUCUCGCCGAGGCAGAGAUGAAGCUUCGAGCCAGAUGAUGCAAGUCCAGAUGCGAGCAGGGAUGGUGCCGGGAGGCUAUUGUGGCAAUUAACGAUAUUGCCCGAGUUGUGUAUUUAUUUAUCUCUUGUACGUAGCCAUGUGGUGUUAUGUAUGUACACCCUUGUGAGUAAAAUGUAUGUGUUGAUGAGCGUUAGAUGUAUCUAAUUGUUGUAAUCAUCAGUGUGUUAGAUGAUUGUGAGUUUGCGUGAUUAUAUGUGGCUUGAGUUAUUGAAGCCAAGUUAGGGCCGAGUAAAGAUCAGCAAGGUAUGUUCUCAUAAAUCCCCAAUACUCAGCGAAGUGUUUGUUAUGCUAGCUUUAUGCCUGGGUCACCUCUGGUUUGCUUUGAGACGAGCUGAAGGGAGGUGAAGCUCACUCGGGUUCGGGUCUAGGUCCGCUGUAUUUUCUUGUUUAAAUUGGGACCGAUUCUUGAGUGGAGCUAAGGGAAGGACGAAGCCUAGUUCCCACCCAGGGCGUUUCCUGUUGAAACAUAGUGCAACCCUUCAGUUGUGGUUCGUCGGGUGAGUAAUCCGGUCGAUUAUUUACCAGUGGCGCUCGUAAGUGGGAGCGAGUCGUUACAGGAUGCGUGGCUAUAAGUGAUGGGGAUGGGUUGUGCCCACCACAGAGUGUAUGUUGUGGAAGUGACCCACGUGGUAAGUGGGAUACGACCCACAGUGUGAGUGAUUAUGGAAAGCGGGACACGACCCACAAUGUGAGUGAUUAUAGGAAAGUGGGAUACGACCCACAGUGUGAGUGAUUAUGAAAAGUGGGAUACGACCCAUAGUGUGAGUGGU